rnacentral:rRNA from 1 species
UACAGGGGGGGCAAGCGUUGUUCGGAAUUACUGGGCGUAAAGGGGUUGUAGGCGGCCCAACUAAGUCCGACGUGAAAUCCCAAGGCUUAACCUUGGAACUGCGUCGGAUACUGGAUGGCUUGAAUUCGGGAGAGGGAUGUGGAAUUCCAGGUGUAGCGGUGAAAUGCGUAGAUAUCUGGAGGAACACCGGUGGCGAAGGCGGCAUCCUGGACCGGUAUUGACGCUGAGGCGCGAAAGCUAGGGGAGCAAACGGG